CCCAGAGGACCUGAGCCCCUGCUCGGGCUGGCGUUCCGACUGCAGCUAUGGUCUUCUGGCCUGAUAUCACCGGGCGUGCUACCUUAUCCUGGACCCCUGCUAGAGUCCUCACUGUCAGCCCUAGCUCAGCCAGGACCCUACUCAUGCUAUGUUGAACGAGCACCAUGGACGGAGAGGGAGGAAAACAGACAGCUACUCUCUACCACACAUUCACCAAGUCAUCCAAUGUUUGCAUCAUGAACAAUUUUAGCAUUUUCCAAAAUAAAUAUAUUAUACAUUUUGUU